rnacentral:rRNA from 1 species
UACGGGGGGGGCAAGCGUUGUUCGGAAUUACUGGGCGUAAAGGGCUCGUAGGCGGCCAACUAAGUCGGACGUGAAAUCCCUCGGCUUAACCGGGGAACUGCGUCCGAUACUGGAUGGCUUGAGUUUGGGAGAGGGAUGCGGAAUUCCAGGUGUAGCGGUGAAAUGCGUAGAUAUCUGGAGGAACACCGGUGGCGAAGGCGGGUCUCUGGGCCGUAACUGACGCUGAGGAGCGAAAGCGUGGGGAGCGAACAGG